rnacentral:rRNA from 1 species
GAUGGACGCUGGCGGCGUGCCUAACACAUGCAAGUCGAGCGGACCAAUGCCCAUUUCAGCUUUGCUGAUUUGAGCAACGGUUAGCGGCGGACGGGUGAGUAACGCGUGGGCAACCUGCCCUGUGCAGGGGGAUAACACAGCGAAAGCUGUGCUAAUACCCCAUAAGACUACGCUAUCGCAUGAUAGAGUAGUCAAAGCUUUAGCGGCACAGGAUGGGCCCGCGUCUGAUUAGCUAGUUGGUGGGGUAACGGCCUACCAAGGCGACGAUCAGUAGCCGACCUGAGAGGGUGAUCGGCCACACUGGAACUGAGACACGGUCCAGACUCCUACGGGAGGCAGCAGUGGGGAAUAUUGCACAAUGGGGGAAACCCUGAUGCAGCAACGCCGCGUGAGCGAAGAAGGCCUUCGGGUCGUAAAGCUCUGUCCUAAGGGAAGAAGUAUGACGGUACCUUAGGAGGAAGCCCCGGCUAACUACGUGCCAGCAGCCGCGGUAAUACGUAGGGGGCGAGCGUUAUCCGGAAUCACUGGGCGUAAAGGGUGCGUAGGCGGCCGAGUAAGCCAGAGGUGAAAGGCUACGGCUUAACCGUAGUAAGCCUUUGGAACUACUUGGCUUGAGUGCAGGAGAGGAGAGUGGAAUUCCUAGUGUAGCGGUGAAAUGCGUAGAUAUUAGAGGAACACCAGUGGCGAAAGCGACUCUCUGGACUGUAACUGACGCUGAGGCACGAAAGCGUGGGGAGCAAACAGGAUUAGAUACCCUGGUAGUCCACGCCGUAAACGAUGAGUGCUAGGUGUCGGGGGUUCACACCCUCGGUGCCGGAGUUAACGCAAUAAGCACUCCGCCUGGGGA